rnacentral:rRNA from 1 species
UACGUAGGGGGCUAGCGUUGUCCGGAAUCAUUGGGCGUAAAGAGCGUGUAGGCGGCCCGGUAAGUCAGCUGUGAAAGUCAAGGGCUCAACCCUUGAAUGCCGGUUGAUACUGUCGGGCUAGAGUCCGGAAGAGGCGAGUGGAAUUCCCGGUGUAGCGGUGAAAUGCGCAGAUAUCGGGAGGAACACCAAUGGCGAAGGCAGCUCGCUGGGACGGUACUGACGCUGAGACGCGAAAGCGUGGGAGCAACAGG